rnacentral:misc_RNA from 1 species
CUAAGGAUGAUUUCCUCAGGGCGCCGAUCGCCCCUCAGCAAUGAGGCCCCGAUCGACCGCUCUAUCGAAAUCCCCUGGAAUAUGCCGACCGGGGUCUCACCCCGGACCAAUCGGCGAAAAUGGCGGGACGGCGCCGUCCUCGUUUCUCUUUCUCUCAUCAACUGCGCGCGGCCUUGCGCUGCGCCGGUUGCAACCUUGGCUAAGGCCGCGCUGAACGGUCGCGUGCUUGACGCCUUCCGGGCCGGUAGCUCAGUUGGUUAGAGCACACGCUUGAUAAGCGUGGGGUCGAAGGUUCAACUCCUUCUCGGCCCACCAGCUCUUUAAGCUGCCGCGACGCCGGCAAGGGCCUUAGCUCAGCUGGGAGAGCGCGUGCUUUGCAAGCAUGAGGUCACCGGUUCGAAUCCCGGUAGGCUCCACCAGCCUGCACGGAUCGCCAGGCCUGCAGCGGGAUCGCCAGGGUUGAGAGAAGCAAGGUUCCGCCAUGCAAAUUGGCGGGUUUCACAUCGUGAAGAAGGGUCGCUUCGUUCGGUUCGAGAAUUCGGGCUGGCGGGCGAUGCGAGAGUCAAAUGUCUAACUCUCGCGCGUUCAGGCGUUCCGCCUCAUCAGCGGAUCGUUCGACGCGCAUGAGUUUUGCUGACGAUCAAGCGUGAAAAGGGCGUUCAGG